UGAGGAAUUUUGCGCAAUGGGAGCAAUCCUGACGCAGCAACGCCGCGUGGGUGAUGAAGGCCUUCGGGUCGUAAAGCCCUGUCAGGUGGGAAGAAUGUCCCGGGACUGAACAGGUUCCGGGAGUGACGGUACCACCAGAGGAAGCACCGGCUAACUACGUGCCAGCAGCCGCGGUAAUACGUAGGGGGCAAGCGUUAUCCGGAUUCAUUGGGCGUAAAGCGCGCGUAGGCGGUCUGUUAGGUCAGGAGUCAAAUCCGGGGGCUCAACCCCCGUUCGCUUCUGAUACCGGCAGACUUGAGUUUGGUAGGGGAAGGUGGAAUUCCCAGUGUAGCGGUGGAAUGCGCAGAUAUUGGGAAGAACACCGGUGGCGAAGGCGGCCUUCUGGGCCAUAACUGACGCUGAGGCGCGAAAGCUAGGGGAGCGAACA
rnacentral:rRNA from 1 species